rnacentral:rRNA from 1 species
AGUGAACGCUGGCGGUAGGCCUAACACAUGCAAGUCGAACGGCAUCACAGUAAUAGCUUGCUCUUACGGGUGGCGGGUGGCGUGCGGGUGAGGAAUACAUCGGAAUCUACUUUUUCGUGUGGGAUAACGUAGUGAAACUUACUCUAGUACCGCAUACGACCUUCGGGUGGAUGCGCGGGAUCUUCUGACCUUGCUGGUUUGAAUGUGCCGCGUUCGGUUUAGUUCGUUGGCGGGGUAAAGGCCCACCAGUUGGAGGAUCGGGUGCUGGUCUGAGAGGAUGAUCAGCGACACUGGAACGUAGACACGGUCCAUACUCCUACGGGAGGCAGCAGUCGGGAAUGUUGGACAAUGGGGGCAAGCCUGACACAGCGAUACCGCGUGCGUGAAGAAGGCCUUCGGGUUGUAAAGCCCGUUUGUUGGGAAAGAACCGCUGUAGCCUAAUACGUCGCUGGUAUGACGGUAAUCGACGAAUAAGCACCGGCUAACUUCGUG